rnacentral:rRNA from 1 species
UGGGGAAUUUUGGACAAUGGGCGAAAGCCUGAUCCAGCAAUGCCGCGUGUGUGAAGAAGGCCUUCGGGUUGUAAAGCACUUUUUGUCCGGAAAGAAAUCCUUGGCUCUAAUACAGUCGGGGGGAUGACGGUACCGGAAGAAUAAGCACCGGCUAACUACGUGCCAGCAGCCGCGGUAAUACGUAGGGUGCAAGCGUUAAUCGGAAUUACUGGGCGUAAAGCGUGCGCAGGCGGUUUGCUAAGACCGAUGUGAAAUCCCCGGGCUCAACCUGGGAACUGCAUUGGUGACUGGCAGGCUAGAGUAUGGCAGAGGGGGGUAGAAUUCCACGUGUAGCAGUGAAAUGCGUAGAGUAUGUGGAGGAAUACCGAUGGCGAAGGCAGCCCCCUGGGGCCAAUACUGACGCUCAUGCACGAAAGCGUGGGGAGCAAACAGGAUUAGAUACCCUGGUAGUCCACGCCCUAAACGAUGUCAACUAGUUGUUGGGGGAUUCAUUUCCUUAGUAACGUAGCUAACGCGUGAAGUUGACCGCCUGGGGAGUACGGUCGCAAGAUUAAAACUCAAAUGAAUUGACGGGGUCAUAGCUGUUUCCU